AGCCUGCAGAGAGGGGCAGCACGCAGAGCCAUGCCUCCCACCAGGGGCGUGUUGGCCCCUUCCAGGAGCGGCAUGGGGCCUGGGCCAUCUGAAGACCCCUGACUCAUUCAGCGCAAUGUCAUCACGUGACACCCAUAUGGUUCAUCAACAGAGUUGGAAUUAUUAAAAUCUACCACACAGACCUCUGCCACUUGACCUAAUAGAAAAUGGAUCUAAUAAACACCUGGACACUAAGAAGAGAUUUAAGAUACAAAACCCAUGGCUAGCAAUGUAUGGUUGCACCAGCAACUCCUGGGACCAAGGGACUAAAAAGUAAUAUAAUGAUUUCUUUAGAAGUCUUAUCGUAGCUUGCGAGGAAACUGAUUUUCCAGACAUCUGUGCAAAUGGAUAGUCCAUUCUCUUCAGAGGUUUUCCCGUCGCUUCCUGUAUCUUCCCUCCUUGGGGGAGAAAUCAGCAGGAAAUUUAGUCCAGUUUUGCAUGUGUCUUUAUUUUUUCCAGUAUAUUAAAAGGAAUAAUGGCAGUACUGCUAUGGAUGUCACUAGAUAUAGCUUUGCAAUAUGGAGGAGAUUAGGAUAAAAACUUAAGGAAGAAAACACAGGAAAAUAUUUUACUUUUUUUUUUUUAAAACAUACCAGAAAAAAUCUAAUUAGAAGUAGAAGAAAGGUUUUCUAUAAGGAGAAGCUUCUGUCCUGCUAGGAGUAUCCAUGUUCUUUCUGUGCAUCAGCCAGUACUGAGAGUGCCGAUGCUAGAAAACCAUUUAAACUUCUAGUCAGUAAUGUAUAAGCUAGUCCAAUUUAAAUAACCGCUUUUAAAAUUACCAUAGAGAAGAUUUAUUUUGUAAUAAUUAAUAAUCCAUUGCCUGUCCCAUUUUCAAAGGUGAACUGUAAGGCUUGAUAACUUGCCAGCAGUUUGAAUUCAGAGAUCUGGGUCUCACCUGAAAUAGUAGAUAAUUACAUCUAAAACAUUACUUCCACUGUCUCAGAUCUGCAAGUAAGCAUGUAUUUAACCACAAAACAAGCUUUGAAGUUAAGCAAAUGCAUAAGUGUUUGCAGGACUGGGGUUUAGGAUGGUAAUGAUGUCCUCAGUAGUUGCAAACCUCUAGCCAGAUUUAGUAAUUUACUUUAUUCAGGUGACAGAUUAUGACUUCCCAAGACAUAACGCAAUCCUUCAUUUUAUUUUUUUUAAAUUAGACUGUUCUUCUUCCUUACUGAAAAGGAUAUUACAUGAAGUAGUUUUUCCAGUGUGUUGUCAGCACCUGGUUGGAAUACAGAUGUGUGAAAGGUAUUUCAAAACUUUGCCUCAAGAGCAGUCUAGUUUGCCAUAAAUGUUGUUUUAACAUCAAGCAGUUAGGAUGCUUCCUCACACAUAUUUAAUAGCCCAGCAAUUGCGAGUUACAGAAGUGACUCAAGCCUAAUUAGAAAAAGAACAGUAUAAUUGUUAUUAACCAUAUAAGGACUGAAUUUGAUGAGUAGUCUGACAUCACAUACAAUAUAGAUUUAUGAGUACUUGUUAUUAGCAUUUACUGUAUUAUGUUUUAUAUUAAGUUGUAAUACAUAUUAUUCUCUCCUUGUUAAUUAUAUUAUAGUACUUGUUUUACAUACGUUUGGCAUAAAUACUUUGUUUUCUCUACAUGCAAUAUAUCUGGAGAAGUGUUAAUAUACAUUGGGCCUUUUUAAUUAACUGAAAUAAGGAAUUUACUAUUAUGAUUACAAACA